rnacentral:rRNA from 1 species
ACGUAGGUGACAAGCGUUGUCCGGAUUUACUGGGUGUAAAGGGCGCGUAGGCGGAUUGUCAAGUCAGUCGUGAAAUACCGGGGCUUAACCCCGGGGCUGCGAUUGAAACUGACAGCCUUGAGUAUCGGAGAGGAAAGCGGAAUUCCUAGUGUAGCGGUGAAAUGCGUAGAUAUUAGGAGGAACACCAGUGGCGAAGGCGGCUUUCUGGACGACAACUGACGCUGAGGCGCGAAAGUGUGGGGAGCAAACAG